GAAAUGUCUGUUCAUGUUCAUAUCCUUCGCCCACUUUUUGAUGGGGUUGUUUGUUUUUUUCUUGUAAAUUUGUUUGAAUUCAUUGUAGAUUCUGGAUAUUAGCCCUUUGUCAGAUGAGUAGGUGCAAAAAUUUUCUCCCAUUCUGUAGGUUGCCUGUUCACUCUGAUGGUAGUUUCUUUUGCUGUGCAGAAACUCUUUAGUUUAAUUAGAUCCCAUUUGUCAAUUUUGGCUUUUGUUGCCAUUGCUUUUGGUGUUUUAGACAUGAAGUCCUUGCCCAUGCCUAUGUCCUGAAUGGUAUUGCCUAAGUUUUCUUCUAGGGUUUUUAUGGUUUUAGGUCUAACAUGUAAGUCUUUAAUCCAUCUUGAAUUGAUUUUUGUAUAAGGUGUAAGGAAGGGAUCCAGUUUCAGCUUUCUACAUAUGGCUAGCCAGUUUUCCCAGCACCAUUUAUUAAAUAGGGAAUCCUUUCCCCAUUUCUCAUUUUUCUCAGGUUUGUCAAAGAUCAGAUAGUUGUAGAUAUAUGGCAUUAUUUCUGAGGGCUCUGGUCUGUUCCAUUGAUCUAUAUCUCUGUUUUGGUACCAGUACCAUGCUGUUUUGGUUACCGUAGCCUUGUAGUAUAGUGUGAAGUCAGGUAGUGUGAUGCCUCCAGCUUUGUUCUUUUGGCUUAGGACUGACUUGCUGAUGCGGGCUCUUUUUUGGUUCCAUAUGAACUUUAAGGUAGUUUUUUCCAAUUCUGUGAAGAAAGUCAUUGGCAGCUUGAUGGGGAUGGCAUUGAAUCUAUAAAUUACCUUGGGCAGUAUGGCCAUUUUCAUGGUAUUGAUUCUUCCUAUCCAUGAGCAUGGAAUGUUCUUCCAUUUGUUUGUAUCCUCUUUUAUUUCAUUGAGCAGUAGUUUGUAGUUCUCCUUGAGGAGGUCUUUCACAUCCCUUGUAAGUUGGAUUCCUAGGUAUUUUAUUCUCUUUGAAGCAAUUGUGAAUGG
rnacentral:lncRNA from 10 species